GGCAAGAUAGUUCAGUUGGUUAGAACGUCGGAAUCAUAAUCCGAAUGUCGGGGGUUCGAAUCCCUCUCUCGUCA
rnacentral:tRNA from 1 species